AACGAACGCUGGCGGCAUGCCUAACACAUGCAAGUCGAACGAUACCUCCGGGUCUAGUGGCGCACGGGUGCGUAACGCGUGGGAACCUUCCCUUAGGUUCGGAAUACCUCCCCGAAAGGGGUGCUAUUACCGGAUAAUGUCUUCUAACCAAUGAUUUAUCUCCUUUGGAUGUGGGAGCGUUGGAUUAGCUAGUUGGUAGGGUAAAAGCCUACCAAGGCGACGAUCCAUAGCUGGUCUGAGAGGAUGAUCAGCCACACUGGGACUGAGACACGGACGAGACUCCUACGAGAGGGAGCAGUGGGGAAUAUUGGACGAUGGGCGAAAGAAUGAUCGAGCAAUGCCGCGUAAGUGAUGAAGGACUGAGGGAUGUAAAGCUCUUUUGAACGGGAAGAUAGUGACGGUACCGGGAGAAUAAGCUACGGCUAACUACGUG
rnacentral:rRNA from 1 species